GGGUUGUGAGGUUAAGCGACUAAGCGUACACGGUGGAUGCCCUGGCAGUCAGAGGCGAUGAAGGGCGUGCUAAUCUGCGAUAAGCGCCGGUAAGGUGAUAUGAACCGUUAUAACCGGCGAUACCCGAAUGGGGAAACCCAGUGUGACUCGUCACACUAUCAUUAACUGAAUCCAUAGGUUAAUGAGGCGAACCGGGGGAACUGAAACAUCUAAGUACCCCGAGGAAAAGAAAUCAACCGAGAUUCCCCCAGUAGCGGCGAGCGAACGGGGAGGAGCCCAGAGCCUGAAUCAGCAUGUGUGUUAGUGGAAGCGUCUGGAAAGGCGCGCGAUACAGGGUGACAGCCCCGUACACAAAAGCGCAUGUGCUGUGAGCUCGAUGAGUAGGGCGGGACACGUGGUAUCCUGUCUGAAUAUGGGGGGACCAUCCUCCAAGGCUAAAUACUCCUGACUGACCGAUAGUGAACCAGUACCGUGAGGGAAAGGCGAAAAGAACCCCGGCGAGGGGAGUGAAAAAGAACCUGAAACCGUGUACGUACAAGCAGUGGGAGCACCCUUUGGGGUGUGACUGCGUACCUUUUGUAUAAUGGGUCAGCGACUUAUAUUCUGUAGCAAGGUUAACCGAAUAGGGGAGCCGGAGGGAAACCGAGUCUUAAUUGGGCGUUAAGUUGCAGGGUAUAGACCCGAAACCCGGUGAUCUAGCCAUGGGCAGGUUGAAGGUUGGGUAACACUAACUGGAGGACCGAACCGACUAAUGUUGAAAAAUUAGCGGAUGACCUGUGGCUGGGGGUGAAAGGCCAAUCAAACCGGGAGAUAGCUGGUUCUCCCCGAAAGCUAUUUAGGUAGCGCCUCGUGAAUUCAUCUCCGGGGGUAGAGCACUGUUUCGGCUAGGGGGCCAUCCCGGCUUACCAACCCGAUGCAAACUGCGAAUACCGGAGAAUGUUAUCACGGGAGACACACGGCGGGUGCUAACGUCCGUCGUGAAGAGGGAAACAACCCAGACCGCCAGCUAAGGUCCCAAAGUCAUGGUUAAGUGGGAAACGAUGUGGGAAGGCCCAGACAGCCAGGAUGUUGGCUUAGAAGCAGCCAUCAUUUAAAGAAAGCGUAAUAGCUCACUGGUCGAGUCGGCCUGCGCGGAAGAUGUAACGGGGCUAAACCAUGCACCGAAGCUGCGGCAGCGACACUAUGUGUUGUUGGGUAGGGGAGCGUUCUGUAAGCCUGCGAAGGUGGCCUGUGAGGGUUGCUGGAGGUAUCAGAAGUGCGAAUGCUGACAUAAGUAACGAUAAAGCGGGUGAAAAGCCCGCUCGCCGGAAGACCAAGGGUUCCUGUCCAACGUUAAUCGGGGCAGGGUGAGUCGACCCCUAAGGCGAGGCCGAAAGGCGUAGUCGAUGGGAAACGGGUUAAUAUUCCCGUACUUGGUGUUACUGCGAAGGGGGGACGGAGAAGGCUAUGUUGGCCGGGCGACGGUUGUCCCGGUUUAAGCGUGUAGGUGUGUGUUCCAGGUAAAUCCGGUU
rnacentral:rRNA from 1 species